GUUUGAAACCCAGUCUCAUUUCUUUUUCCUUCCUUCUCUGGCUAGAUUAUGACCUUCAGGAUCUGUGGUCUGGAGGAGAUCCAUUUUCUUUUUUCACUCCUUCCAGGGGUGUUGGAUGAGGAAGAGAGUCUUAAAAAGGUUCACAAAUGGCAUGUUAAGACAUUUGCUACAGGGAAUGGAUUUGGAAUUUGAAAUAUCUCUCUCUGAAGAAGUCACAGUUUUCCAAGAAGGAUUAUUGCUAAGAACUCCAACACAUCAUGCUUCUCACUGUAAAGAUGAGCACUGAAACUUGCAGACUCUGUAUUCUUCCAGAAACCAGGGACAUAAAUGAGGAGAAAAUGUACUUCUGCAUUCAGUAAGCAUUUAUGGAAGUCCUAAUGUGUGUCACGAAUUGUGAUAGGUGUUAGGAAUGAGAAUGGGAUUGAGGAAGAUACAAAUAUUACCUAAGGCUUAAAGUGAGAUGUGUAAAAAUGUGUGUAUGGUGACUGAAUAGUGCACAUGGGUGCAGAAGUCUGCAACACUGCUUGGAAGAGUAAGAAGGCUUUGCAGAGGUAAGGGUUGAUGUGAGCUGCAAGGCUGCUGCAAGGAUUUUCUGGGGAGAGGGGAAAAUCUGGGAAGAAGCAGCAGCAUAUCUAAAGGCUUGGAGACCUGAAAAGAACUCACGGCUCUGCAAGAGUUGGUGAGCAAAUCUGGCCACCUGUGCUUAAGACUAACUGGAGGAAACCCAAGAAAAUAUUGAGGUGAGGUUGGGAAGAAAAUUGUCCUCUGUACAAAGGAAAUUGUACAUUAUGCUGUGGGUUUAACAUCAGGGAAUAGCCAGCUCAGAUUUGUGUUUGGGAAGGUAACUGGAGGUAGCUUGGAAGGUAAAUGGAAGUGAAAAAGGGAGUAGAGUACAGACAUUAGGAAUGAGUGAGUACUGAGGUGGAAGAUGGUGUGUGCUGGACUCUGGUCUGGCUUGUGUUUGGGUCUUUGCUGCUGUUUGAUAGUGCUGUUUGCCCAAGGACAUGGCCUUCAUCUUCACUCACCUGGUGCCAUGAUUGGAGGUUGUUCUGGUUCUUCUCCCACCUUUUAUGCACAUAAGCAUAACCAAUAUGUGAAUCAAAACAGAAGUACUUAGCAAUGGAGAAACUACAUGGAAUAAAGGCAAGUGAACAAAAAAUUCAUUUAAACUUAGAACCAAAACUAUAAAAUCUUGGAGUCAUGGAGUUAUUCCCCAAUCUUGAAAAUUUUGAAUAUAGAAUAGAAUGUAAAUGUUAAAAAUCUUAAUGGAUUUAAAAAAUAAACUGAUAAUAAUAAAUGAAAAUUAGGAGGUGG
ensembl:lncRNA